UACAGAGGGGGCAAGCGUUGUUCGGAAUUACUGGGCGUAAAGGGCGCGUAGGCGGCCCGUUAAGUCGAACGUGAAAUCCCCAGGCUCAACCUGGGAACUGCGUCCGAUACUGGCGGGCUUGAAUCCGGGAGAGGGAUGCGGAAUUCCAGGUGUAGCGGUGAAAUGCGUAGAUAUCUGGAGGAACACCGGUGGCGAAGGCGGCUACCUGGACCGGUUCUGACGUUGAUGCGCGAAAGCGUGGGUAGCAAACAGG
rnacentral:rRNA from 1 species